rfam:Streptomyces rubrolavendulae strain MJM4426, complete genome.
UCUACUAUGCAGACGGCACAGGGUCCCAGGACCCUAGGGAGGAAGCCCGGUGUGAAUCCGGCGCGGUCCCGCCACUGUGAGCAGGACCCGAGCGGCCCCGCGAGUCAGGAACUCCCGCCACCCACGACCACC